GAUGAACGCUGGCGGCGUGCCUAAUACAUGCAAGUCGAGCGAACAGACGAUGAUCUUGUUCCUUUCACGUUAGCGGCGCACGGGUGAGUAACACGUGGAUCACCCACCUAUAUGUCUGGUAUCACUUCGGGAAACCGGCGCUAAUCCCGUAUAAUCUAUUGCACCGUAUUGUUCAAUAGUGAAAGACGGUUUUGCUGUCACUUAUCGAUGCUUCCGCGCCGCAUUAGCUAGUUGUUAGGGUAACGGCUUACCAAGGCAAGGAUGCGUAGACGAACUGAGAGGGGGAUCGCCCACACUGGAGGUGAGACACGGUCCAGACUACUAAGGGAGGCAGCAGUAGGGAAUCUUCCGCAAUGGGCGAAAGCAUGACGGAGCAACGCCGCGUGAGUGAUGAAGGUCUUCGGAUCGUAAAACUGUGUUAUUAGGGAAGAACAAAUGUGUAAGGAAAUAUGCACGGAGUGACGGUACCUAAUCAGAAAGCCACGGCUAACUACGUG
rnacentral:rRNA from 1 species